rnacentral:lncRNA from 1 species
AUAAGUCUUGCCAAUUGUAGUAAUCACUACCUGUGCAAGGGCACUUUCUUUCCCUGCAACAAGUUCAAUAGCUCUUUUUCCCUCAGGCACAGCAAAGUGAUCAGAAUCAAUGUAUUUCACCGCCUUAAGAGACUCAACAAUCCAUCCUGGCAAAGGACCGUGAGAAUCCUCUAUAUGCGGUGGGAUCAAAGCCCCCCAAGACGAGUUGGGAAAUAUAUAUGGACCUUCUUCGAAAUUGCCAUUUUUCAACAAAUUGGCUGCACCACAUUAAAAACCCAGUUUUAAAAUUUUGUUGUGUAAUGCAAAUGUACACACAAUUGGUUAAAGAGAGAAAAAGUUAUGCUUUCUGUGAAAAAAAAUUUACUUAAUCAUUUAAUCAAACAUAUUAUUUAUCAUAAAUUCAUUAAGUAAUUAUCUUAAUAUAAUUCAAAUAAUAAUUUAUAAUUCGAUAAUAAUAUAAAACUGUUUUAUACUCUUACUCUAGACAUUAAACCCAUGCCGAUUAGGACUAUGCAUGCUAAAAAGUUAGGAGUAUUGACCUCUUGUUCUUUUGGGUGGGUACAAAACCUUGAGGGCAACGGAAUCAAUGAGGGGACCACAAGCUGGAUCCUCUUCUUUGCCAGGGUUAUGGAUGACAAUUUGAGCUUCUGGGAAAUCUGCUCGGAAGCCACAAGUGAAAGACUCCCAGCCAUUGCUACCAUACAUAGUCUGAAUGGGGAUGAUGCCCCAGUCCCUCUUCUCAGUGGUUGGAACCACUGACACGUUGAGCUUCUCCUCUUGUGCACAGGUUCGAGCGGCACUGAAGGUGAUGGAGUAGAAGGACCCCUUAAUCAGCUUCAGCUUCUGCUUAAUGGAAGCUUCAUUGCCAAGUCUAACUGCAUAGUCACCCUCAG